rnacentral:rRNA from 1 species
UACGUAGGGGGCUAGCGUUGUCCGGAAUCAUUGGGCGUAAAGAGCGCGUAGGCGGCCAGACAAGUCCGGUGUGAAAGUCACAGGCUCAACCUGUGAAUGCCGCUGGAAACUGUCUGGCUAGAGUCCGGAAGGGGCGAGUGGAAUUCCUGGUGUAGCGGUGAAAUGCGCAGAUAUCAGGAGGAACACCGGUGGCGAAGGCGGAUCUCUGGGCCUUACCUGACGCUGAGGCGCGAAAGCUAGGGGAGCGAACAGG